GGGCAUUUAGCUCAGUGGAAGAGCGUUCCGUUCACAGCGGAAAGGCCGCUGGUUCGAUCCCAGCAAUGCCCA
rnacentral:tRNA from 1 species